rnacentral:miRNA from 1 species
AGUUGGAUUUGAAUUUCAGAUAAGCAAUGAAUAAUUUUUUUAGUAUAAGUAUGUCCCAUGCAAUACUUGCGGCAUGCUUAUACUAAAAAGUUAUUCAUUGUUUAUCUGAUAUUCAGAUUUAAC